rnacentral:antisense_RNA from 1 species
GCAGAGCGGAGGAGCAGCAGCUGCCACCGGCCGGAAGCCUGCUGGCUCGGCCGAGAACAAUGGCCGCCUGUCACUGUGGACAGCUGUCUCCUAGGCUAAGGCAAGGCUGCGCUCCCAGGGAAUGCGGGCAGGGAGCCAGGGCGGAGGGCAGAGGACGAGAGCGAGGAGGAGAGCGCGGGCACCCACUGAUGCUGGCGGCCUCCGGUAUUCGCUUUCUCUCUCUUCUCCCACCUUGUUCCUUUUCCCCGGAUGCACGCAUGCACUAGUAAUGCCGAAUUUAGAACAACAGGGAAAGGAAAGGAAAUGGCAAAGGAAGGGAAAGGAAAUGGCAGACAGGAAAUGGCAAGGAAGGGAAAAUCCACUGCAACUCUGCUGCCUGUUGGCCUGUCCAGGGACAACUAUUCAGCUGGGUGGGACGUUGCUACCCCCUUGUGGCACCCCUGCUGCAGCCUGCGAUUCUUACGCCCUGUAUUUCUGGUCUAACAUCAACCAACACUUUGGCGAAAUAUAAUAAAAUGAAAUUACUAGGAGAAUGAAAGAAAGUCACAUGAAAUAAAAGCCCUGCUUUUUAAUGAUUAUAUUCUCUGUGAAAUGGCUCUGCAGCCCUCUCCAUUUCUGGGUUCCCCUGGCCACACCAUGCUUAUGGCUGUCCCAGGAGCAGGCUGACAGACAAGCUUCCACCAGCAUCUAACCAUGGGGCUCAUGGACACCGUAGAGCGUCUCCACCCAACAGAAUCCUGACUUGGGGGCAGCUGAGGCAGGGGGCCCGAGCGUUGAGGGGACCACGCUGCUGCCCCAAGACCUGCUGGCAUGCCACCUGGCCAACCCUGACUUCACCUGCCCGGGCGCAUGUUAACUGAGUUACAACACUGAGGGCACUUGAACCUGGCUGCAUGACCAGAGAUCGAUCACCUGUGAGAUCCUCUGUGAAACGGGAUAAGCAUCUUUAAUUUCCUGGGCUGUUCUGGAACUUCAGUCAGACAGGACACAGGAGGGUGUCUGCACCACCCACCCCUGCCUCGUGGGCUGACUGGGAACUAUAUGACCUGUGGAGGGCUGUGACCGCCACCCUCCACCUCGCUGGGGUCCCAAGCCUUCUCUGCUCCUUGAUUCUGCUGCCGUUGUGAGCGAGGGCCCCAGCACCCUUAGGGACCCCAAUCAAUGGGCUUCCCACAAUGUCGUCACCCUUUGUUGCCUGCUAAGCAGCCCUGGGGCCACCUCAGAAGAAACAGAACUCACAGGUCACAGGGGCCUUUUCCUCCUCGUCAUCGUCCUCCUCCUCUUCUUCCUCCUCCCUGGGCAACUUCCUGAAUUCGGAAAGGUGGGGUUUUGCUAUGUUGUCCAGGCUGGUCUUGAACUCCUGCCCUCAAGUGAUCCUCCCAUCUCAGCCUCCCAAAGCCCUGGGAUAAUGGCAUGAGCUGCCACACCUGGCCGCCUUUGGUCUGUUUGAAGAGGGACAUGGCAUGAUCAGAUGGGGCUUUUAGGCCUCUCUGACCCUGGUGUGGAGGGUGGGCUGGCAAGAAGGGGACGACUGUCUAGAGGAGAGAGUCCAAGACCUGGGCUGGGCAGGGCCAUGGUGACAAACAGGAGCAGACAGAGUCGGGCAGUAUAAAUGGAGGGGCAGGGACAGUGUUGAAGUUUCUAUUCUGAGCAACUAGAAGGCUCGUGGCACAGUUAAUUACCCUGAUGGGGAUGGAAGAGUCAGGCAGGGGAUGGGCAAUGGGCUCUGUUUCCACAGCGACUUGUGUUCCACGGAGGUCAAGAGGCCUGAGGGCCUGCAAGAACAUGGUCUGGGCAGGAGAUGGAGCUGCGGAAUGAAUGAGGAUAGGGGGCUGAGUCCCACAGGGCCAGAGCAUGGCUAGCAAAGUGGGGAUGACUCCAGGAGUGGCCUUCUGGGUGCCACGAAGGAAAUGUUUUAAGAAGUGAGACUGGGUCACUGCUUUCAAUGUCAUAGAACAGAGCUGAGCAGUCAAGGAGGCGUAGUGGGUAGAAAGGGAGGUCGCAGCAGGCUGAAAGCAAACCGACAGGAGGGUUAGCGUCUUUUAGCAGGUAGGCAGGGCAGAAGAGAGCCACGGGGCAGAUCAGGGAAAGAAACACUGAAGCCAUCUGUGGCUGAGAAGGAGAGCAGUGGGGAGGAGUGUCUAAAAUUCUGAGCCAUCCCUGGCUUUUCUGGGCAGAAGGGGUCGCUCCCUCAGUGGCCCUAUGGCCUCUAACAUGCAUUUUGACCCCUGGAAUCUGCCUUCUCACCCAGUGGGGGCCCUGGAAGCUGGACAACACACAUUCACCCCUGUGUGCCUGUCCCUGAGAGUGGGGGUCAGGGGAGCAUGCCUGGGGUGGCGAGGUGAUUCUGCACUGGGCCGACACUCCCGGCUUUAACUGGAAGGCGAGGACCUUCCAACAGCACAGGCUGACAGGUCUUGUUCCAUGGGGGCUGGGCACCCAAGGUAUCUACUGAUGGUCUGAGGAAUCUACCGGGAUGGAUUCCUGAUUUUUUUUUUUUUUUUUUUUUCUGAGACGGAGUUUCGCUCUAGUUGCCCAGGCUGGAGUGCAAUGGCGUGAUCUCAGCUCACCACAACCUCCACCUCUCGGGUUCAAGUGAUUCUCCUGCCUCAGCCUCCUGAGUAGCUGGGAUUACAGGCAUGAGCCACCAUGCUCAGCGGAUUCCUGAUUUUUAAAAUGAAAGGGUGACUCAUGGGAGAAGCCUCUGGAACUGCCUUUGAAAAACAACCAGCCAAGACAUGAGAAAUUAGUUCCUCUGCCAUUUGGGGGUUUCCUGCCAACUGCUGGGUUUUCCUUUUGCACAGCAGGGAGGAAGGACGCCUGUUUCCCUUGGUCCCGGUGAGGCCAGGCCUCAGCUUCCUGCCCACCCGCCACUGCUGCUGGGGCAGGGAGGCAGUUUCCGGCUGUGGGGACCCAGACAAUGCCUGGCCAAGGGCCACCAUCGUCCUCUUCCUGGACACAGCUCCUGCCUCAUCCCAGGGUCUGGCCUGGGACACGCCCUAGAGGCCCUCAGCCCUGAGUCACUGCACCAUGCAGAUCCACCCUGAUUCUGGUCCCUGCAGAGCAGGCUCCUACACAAGGCAAGAAGAUGCUCCAGGGACAAGCCAAGGUGUAUGCAAGGCCCAGGUGCCUGAGAAACACGUCUCACCGACCUUGGGGCAGGGGCUGUUACAAGGGGCUUAUAGUCUAGUGGCAGAGACAAAAACCACACUCAAAUCAUUAGUGUACGGUAUGCACUGCUCAGAGACUCAAAUAUGUGACAGGAGGCUCCAAACAAGAGCGGAGACAAGGCGUAAAUAGCCCCCUGUGGACUGGAUGUUCUGACUCCUGGAUGGCCUCCAGAAGGAUGCCUUUUACGGUCUGUGAAAGAGCUCAGGGACCAAGAUGCUCAAAGCCCUUCAUGCCCAAGAGCCCCUCCUCAGGCUGGGACACGGGAAGCAGAGCUCGGAGGUGGAACUCGUGACUGUGUAUGGGCACAUGUGAAUGCGUGUGUGUGGACAGCCAGGCUUAGUGUAGACAACGUGUGAGGCUCAGACCCCAAGUGCUGACUACACCUAUGCACAUCCACACCUGCGUGUGAAAGAAGAUGCUAGAAAAGAACAAAAAUAACUUAAAAAAUAAAUCCAAUAAGAUGGCUGGAACAUAUAACAACUUCAAAUACUCCAUUUUAGUUCACCAUGUAAGGUGGGUUCCUGGGGGCUGAGGAGACUCGGGAGUUCUGCACCCCUCCUGCUCGCACCCAUCACUAGGUGGCUCACACAGCAGCCGCUCAACAAGUCUGGCUGCUCUCGCAUCAAAACCAAAACCCAUUGCCCUCCCCUGCGCCCCCAGCACUGACCCCAACUUUGGUUCGGGGCCCUCCUGGGCAGGUCACCUGCACUGCCUACUCACUCCUCAGCCCUCCAGGACCUCCCACCUUGGAUCCUUCCCUGGGACCCUGCUCUGCGCCCUUCUCCCCCUGCCCAGGAACUGAAGGCUGAUGUUGUCACCCCGGUGCUGCGGCCUGUCCGUCUUCAGCACCUGUGCCCCACGCAGGCCCAGCAAACCCCUGGGCUCUGUCGUUCCCCGGGAUGGCUUUUCCAUCUGAUCCCCAGCUUGGGGCUGGCACCGCUUGGCUUUGCCCGGUCACCUCAUGCUUGGGCCAAAGUGCACCAACCCUUCUGUCCCGGGCCUGGCUUUUUGCCUCAAGGCAGCAAUGGUCCCAUGCCACCUCUACGAAGACCCAGUGGCUGCAGAACUCCCUGGUCUGGACUCCCCUGCUCCCUGCAGAGUGCCACCUGCUCCUCUCAAGAAGGCAGAACGUGAGGCCUUCCCUCACCUCCCGUGCGUGGCACCCCUGCUGGGCCCACUCUGCUCCACCACUGGGGGCUGAUUCACUUUGUGCCACAUAUCUAAAAUAUUUCCUCAAAACAAGCCAAUAACACCCUUUGCGCAUGCCACGACCUCAUGGAGCGUGGUCACCAGACAUUUCCUCCUGAGCUCUAGGCAGCUGUGGGGGAUGCUGGGUGGCAUGGCCCUUGCAUGUGGCUGACACUUAGCAAUGUUUGUGCCCAUGUUGCACAGGGAGAGCACAAGUCACUGACUCUGCUAGGGCCUGGGGUCAAGGAAAAUAGGUCCUUGGUGGGUGUCAGGAACAGAGUUGAUUCGCUGCAAGGGGCAAAGGAAGUGCACACUUGGGGGAUACUGAGGCAGCCACCGAGGAUGGAGGCUCUGUCAGAGGGAGCUAUGGCUGAGAGCCUGUCAUGGCUUCAGGUGAUAUUUCAGGUGAUUUGGGUGAUGCUGGGACUGGGGACCAUGCGCACAUCCCCUCAGCAAGGGACUAGGUUCACAGAAACAGCACGUGGCCCACCAGCCUGCUCACCUCUAUGAGCUGUCCCCUGUGCCAGACAGACAGCCUAACUCCAAGACCCUGUCUGAGCAGAGAGGGUUCGAGAAAAGACCUUGUCCUUCACCAUCUUUCAUGGGACAAAUACUUCCAGAAUGAAUGAAUAAAUGAAGAAGGGGAGGGCAAGGGUCUUCCAAGGAAAGGCCCUCUGAGUUCAGCCUAGGAGACAGCUACACACUGUCUGCUGGUGGACACCCAACUCUCUAUCUUCCCCGAAAUCUGCUAAGCUAGUUGUGCUACCUCUCUGUGCCUCAGCUUCCUCACCUUUGGAAGGGGGACAGUGCCAGCUAUCUCUCAGAUCGUGGUGGCUGGGGUGCCAUGUGGCUCUGCCACUCCUUGACUGUAAGGCCUCAGGCCAGCCUCUUCAUCUACCCACCUCUGCCUCCUCGUCCAUCACACGGAUCGGAAACAGGACGUACUGCUUAUCAGCUGCUAUGCAUUAAAUUGUGUUCCCUAAAAGGUAUGUUGAAGCCCCAGCCCCCUGUGGCUCAGAAUAUGAUCUUAUUUGGAGUUAAAGUCUUUGCAAAUGUAAUUAGUUAUGUUCACAUGAGGUCACACUGGCUGGAGUGGCUCAUGCCUGUGAUCCCAGCAUUUAGGGAGGCAAAAACAUGAGGAUCCAUGGAGCCCAGAAAUUCGAGACCAGCCUGGGCAACAUAGCGAGACCCCAUUCUCCACAAAAAGAAAGAUGAGAUCACACUGUAGGAGGGCAGCCCCUGGUCCAAAAUGCCCAUGUCCUUAUAAGAGGAGGAGUCACAGACACACAGCAGGCAGGGUGGGGAGGUGUGAAGGCACAGACACACACAUGGGGAGAUGCCAUGUGCAACAAGGCCAGCUAGGAGGAAUGAGUCUACAAGCCAAGGACCUCCAGGAAGUCAAGGCCAGGCGCUAACAGAAAGGCAGACUCUUCCCUGCGGCCUUUGAGAGAGCAUGGCGCAGCUGCCACCUUGAUCUUGGACUCUGGCCUCCAGCCCUGUGAAAGAAUGAGCUUUGGCUGUGUUGAGUGCCCAGUGUGUGGUGCUUUGCCACAGCAGCCACGGGAGCCACAUGGUGCUGCAUAGGGAUCCGGGGCUGCAGAUCCCCGUGUGGGGCUGGACGUGUAGGGGAGCAGCAGCCACAUCCCUUGUCGGCCCUGGUGCCGUGCCCUUACUCCCCGUCCCCUUUGGGGGUGCACAGGCCUACCUGCUGCCCAGAAAGCCCAUGGCCAGCUCAGCCAGCUCGCCCUCCACCUCCUCCUGGCUGAGCACCGUCCCUGGGGCCUUCCAUGGCAGAGGGUCCUCUGGGUUCAGCAGGGCUGGGAAGUCUUGCAGGAGCGUGUCCAGGAAGCCUGGGGUCUCCUCAGCUCCACUGGCCAUUGGGCUGCUCUUCUGUGGGGCUCCAGAGGACAUGCCCAGAGCAUCCCGGGGGUCUGCAGCUGGGCCAGGGCAAGAGGGUCUCCAGGCUUCACCCUGGGGAGAAAUGUCAGAGUCAGCAGAAUCAGGGGGCCACGGCACCAGCAAUGCAGGUGCCCACCUGCAAGCACCAUGUGGCAGGUGCAUGGCCUCAUGGUUCAGGGCCACUAGAGGGUGGAGGGACAACCCUGGCCGCUGUUUUGACAUGAGUCCAGGUGGGGACUUGUGGGCAUCCAGAGAUCCAGUCUCAGGAGAUGGUGCCAGGAGCAGCAGCUGGGUGGACAUUGUCAAGAAGUGACAGAGGAGGAAGACUGUUCCUGGCAGAUGGUGGCCAGCGUGGCCAGAGACGAGCAGGACAGGGAUGCCGAGGCCAGGCACUGAGGUAGGUGGGGGGGUUCAACCUGAUCACGGGUCCCGAGCAGCCAGGAGGGCUCUGAGGUGAGGGAGUGAAGCCACCAGGUCUGUGAGCCUGGACGUGGUGACCAGAUGGCAGGAGGGACACCUGUUGGGGCUCUAGCGGUGUUCAGGGGAGGAAAGAGAAGGGCCAAGAUGCAGGAGGCCGGCCCAGGGCUGUUUUGGAGAUAGGCCAGAGUGGGAGCAGGAAGGGAUCCCCAGAGGCUGCUGGGGCCACCCAAGGGGUGUCCAGGAGAGAAGCAGAGGUUUAAUCUGGGACAGACAGGAGGUGCUGUGGGACACCAUCGAGCCUAUUCAAUGCUCUCUAAUAGGAGGAGGGAAUUGUGAGCCUAGAAUGGCUCAGGCCUGCUAAGCCCUGGCUGGAAGAGGGGCACUGUGGACAGUUCCAGGCGCUGACCCCACUGUGGGGCAUGUGGGCUCUUCCUCCCUAAGUCCUUAGGAAUGACCAGAGCUGACCAGCCCUGUGAGUUGCCCCUAACACCCCAGGAGCCAGGACAAGCCCCCAUUUCACAGAUGAGAAUCCCAAGGUUUGGAGAGGGUUAGUCCCUCGCCUGAGGUGUCAGAAGGAAGACAGGGCCAAAGAGGGAUCGCAAAGCCUGUGCCUUCACUCCCUCACCGGCUUCUCUCUCACUGGAAAGAGGCACAUGGUGCCUCACAGCCUCCUCCCAGGGUGGCUCUGGCUCCUCUUCUCUCCUAACUCCGAAUCUCCAUAGUCGCCUCCCCAGCCUGCCUGCCUUGCCUAUACCCAAACAGCUCUCCAGCGCCCCCCUUCCAUGUUCUUUGCAUCACCCCAGGGAUUCACCUCCAGGCCCCACACCUGGGCCUCCCUGCCAGCACCCACUCAGCAUGGACCCUUCUCUCUCCUGCCCCCUUCCUCUCGGGUGCCUGACCCCUCCAAACCCUCCCCACAGCGGGGACUCCACCUUGGGCUUUGUCUAACACUCAGGCUGGGAAACUUUCUUCAGCGAGUCCUACGCAGUAGUGGAUGAGAUUGGAUCCAGAAAAAAAUAAAAAAGAAAUCCUACACAGUUACUAAGCCAGGGAGAAAAACUGCGUUCUUUUAUGGUGACAAACGGACAUGAGACUCUGAGGAACACCCCGAGUUCUAGGGUGGAGAAUUAGGGGAACAGUUUCACAGCCCAUCACCUUCAUGAGGACUUCCAGUUUCUGAAAACUGAACGAAGAAGGCAAGGACAAUCUUCUAGAAUCAUCAGUCUUAGAAUAGCCACAGACUCUGCCUACAAACUUUACUAAAAGGGCGGCUGCGGCAGAGGCCUGAGGUGCAGGAUGAAGAGAGUGGGAAGUAAGAGAUGCAGGGAGCUCACAGCCCACAAGAGGGCUGUCCUUAUCAGGAAUUGCUAACUUGGAACAAGCCUUCUGGAAGCCUAAAGAUAAAAAACACAAAAGAGAAUGGGGUGGGCAGAGGGAAAGGUCCCAGCACCAAGUUAAAUGUCUGAUCAGUGAGGGAUUUGGAAUGCAAGGGGUGAAGGGUGGUAAAUUAACAAAACACAAAACCCUUCUCUUCUUUUAGAGGCAGAAUUGAAAGUUAAUUUAUUUAAAGUGGACACGUACAAAUAACGUAGGAAUAGGGGUACUUGCUACUGAAGGUUCUGGAGAUAGACUAAAUUUAUUGCUAUGGUUCACAUUUACUCACAAGUAGGAGUAAAUUUAAUGCAACCCAGGUUACAGAAGGCAAGCAGGUAAAAGGAUAAAGAACAUAAAACAACUGGCAAGGUGCUGUGGCUCAGGUCUAUAUCUCAGCGCUUGGGGAGGGUGAGGCAGGAGGAGUGCUUGAGGCCAGGAGUUCAAGACCAGCCUGGGCAGUGAGAUCGCCACCCCCCCCCCACCCCCCAUCUCUACCAAAAAAGAAAAAAAAAAGAACAUAAAGCAAAAAAGGAAAAAUCACUCUGAGAGCAGGAGGGACACUGACAUUCAAACGACAAAGGGAAGACUGUGAGCUGGAGAAAUGAGCAGAGGCUGGGAGCCCUAGUAGGUCAAUGAGGAGGCGGCACGUCCUGCCAGCCAUGCCCCAGCAGAGCUGUAAGGCAUUCGAAGAUGGCGUGAAUUUCCCAGCAAGCUUGGCUGCCCUCAAGCAGUGCAAGCGGCCAAGGGCCCCUCUUCUGCCUGGGACUGCCCUGGCCCCUGGAGCUUCUGGGAGAAUGUGAACGAUGCAGAGCUGCCCCCAGCAACUGCCAGUGCCUGGGGCCUCCUCCCACUCCCUUGCAAUUCCAAGUGAUCUGGAGGCUCUACCGUCUCACCACAAAAUGUGCUCAUGUGAAUUUAUGAUUAGGAUCCAAGUGAGAGGACAGCAUGCUCCCCGCUAGAGCACACAGAGGGCCCCCCUGGAGAAACCCCUGCCCACAGUGUAAAGCCCCACUGUCAAGGGCAGAAUUCAAGACCCUUCACUUCCACCCCAUUUGCUGGUGACGUCUGCUGGACCUUUUGGGAUGCAGGUGCCUCCUUCUUGCCUCCUGACCUUGGGGUACUCUUUCCUGUGCCGUGAGCCCCUCCCCACAAUCGGCCUGUUCCCUCAGGGAGGGUGGCUCCUCCUGUCUGCACUGCAGACCCUGAUUCACUGUGGCCACCUGCCUGCUCUCUCUGUGCCUUGUGCCCACUAUCUGCACAUGCCUCAAUGGUGUCUGUGCCAUGUGUACUAAGUGAGGUCUGGGGGGUGUGAUGAUGUCUGUGUGUGAAGCUCUGUCUGCAUCUGUAGAGGGGACAGGCUGGCUUACUCUCAGGGCCUGUGCCAACUGCCUGCUCUUGUUACAAAGGCAGGGUGCCCAGGGCCAUCUUACUUGCUGGGGACCAAGCACCCUUGUUUCUGCAUCACCAACCUAAGGCAAGGGGUGAGGAGAGAAACCAGGACACAGCUUUCUCUCCCUGGAGCCCAGACGUCGAAAGGGACAGGAAUCAUUUCCUUCCUUUCCCCAAUAAGCUCCUGAAUCUGAUGUACACCAUGGCACACCCGGCAGGAAGGAGAAAUUCCUCACCAAGGGAAACCAGAGGCAGCCCUGGGAGUGCCUGGAGGGGCAGGGGACAGUGCUGUGGUUCUUUGAGGGAUCAACUGGAAGAGACAGCAUCAGGAAUGGCAUGGAGGCCAGAGGCAAGCCGCAGGGAGUAGGCAGAGCUGGGAGAGCACCAGAGGCGGCGGAGCCUGGUGCUGGGCUUUCCUGAGCAGGGCACACCAGUGAAAAACUCCGAAUAAGAGGGACGUGUGCAUGAGCCUGUGCAAAUCACCAAGAGCCCGGGGUAGGCAUGGGAGGGACAUUGGACUCCUGCAUCCCAGCACCGCCUGCCUGGACCAGUCUGGCCAAAUGCGACUGGCAGCUGGUUCCUCCUGGAUCAGGGCCCCACUGCACACCAAAUGGGUGCUCACCCUCCUAGAACCUAUUUAAGGUCCCACAUAGGUGAGAAAUGGCAAAGCAAACUCAUCGGGGGGCAGCUGCAGGGGUGUGGCUGAUGGUGCUGCCAGCUGCCAUCCGCCCCUACUCUGAGCACUCUUCCUGGGAUGGCUUUUAGCCUCCCAACAACCUCUUGUGGUUAUCCCCACUUCACAGGGCAGGCUGUAGCAGAAGAGCUAAGGAACUUGCCCAAAGUCCCAGGGUGGGGUUCAUGCUGGGGAACCUGGGCCUUAACUGUGAUGACACCUGGGAAGUCAUUCUGACUCCUUCUAUCCCUGACCUGUCCCUCAUUGGCCACCAGCUCUGGGCUUUGGCUCUCUCAUGGCUCCUCCUUCCAUUUCUGUGUACCCCCAACCCUAGGGCAGCCCCUCCCCUCCUUGUUUUGUGGUGCCCUCCUUCCAUUUUGCCUCCCGAGAUCUCUCAGAUCCUUCCAGGCUUUGCUGAAAUCUCCCCAUCUUUGGAUCCAGCAUGCUCUCUUUCAUGUCUCUAUGGCACUUUUGCUCACAUCUGACUUGUAAAAAGUUUUUUUUUUUAAUUUAAAAUAUUUAUUUUCCUCUAGUGCAUUAGUUUUGACUCCUAAGCUUAACGAAUGCAGGGUUUAACAACUGCAGUUUUUUAGGGGACAUAGAAAAAAUACUUGUUGAGUCUUGCUUAACUGCAGAACCAGGGUAAUGAAAAAAACCCAGCAAUCCUUAGAAAAGGAAACUGCACCACUAUAGUGUAACAAAAGCAUCAUUCAUGUUAAGUGUUUUUGUUUUUGUUUUUUUUGAGACAGAGUCUUGCUCUGUCACCCAGGCCGGAGUGCAGUGGCGCAAUCUCGGCUCACUGCAACCUCCGCCUCUCAGGUUCAAGUGAUUCUCCUGCCUAAGCCUCCCUAGUAGCUGGGAUUACAGGCACCCACAACCACGCCUGGCUAAUUUUUUUGUAUUUUUAGUAGAGAUGGGGUUUCACCAUGUUGGCCAAGCUGGUCUCGAACUCCUGACCUCAGGUGAUCUGCCCGCCUCAGCCUCCCAAAGUGCUGUGAUUACAGGUAUGAGACACCACGCCUGGCCAACCUUUUUCUACCAAAGGAGAUUCUUAUUUCUUUAUUCAUAACUACUAAUAGUUAGAUGUAAAUCCUAGAUUUUUUUUCUACAUAUAUAAAUUUUUUUUAUUGUUGUAAAAUAUACACACUAUGUAUCCUUUUAACCAUUUCUAAGCGUACAGUUCCAUGGCAUUAAGCAUAGUCACACUGCUGUGCAAUGACCAUUUCUUUCUACAGGCCUGACUUUCCUGAUAGACUGUAAGCUCCCUGUAGUCAGGGAGCCCACGAUGGCCCUUUGUGUACAGCAGGUGGUAAGUGUGAUGGCAGAGGGAAGAGUGACUGGCGGGUGGCGUGGGCUGAGGAAGCUACACCACUCUGAAGGGUGCAGCGGGCAGCAGCGCCAGGUCUUAAAAGACUCGGUUGGCUUCAGGUGGUAUCCUUUUUUUUUUUUUUUUUUUUUUUUUUUUUUUUUUGAGAGAGAGUUUCGCUCUUGUUGCCCAGGCUGGAGUGCAAUGGUGGGAUCUCAGCUCACUGCAACCUUCGCCUCCCAGGUUCAAGCAAUUCUCCUGCCUCAGCCUCCUGAGUAGCUAGGAUUACAGGCACCUGCCACCACGCGCGGCUAAUUUUUGUAUUUUUAGUAGAGAUGGGGUUUUGCCAUGCUGGUCUGGAACUCUUGACCUCAGGUGAUAUGCCUGCCUCGGCCUCCCAAAGUGCUGGGAUUACAGGUAUGAGCCACCGCGCCCGGCCUUCAGGCGGUAUCUUAAAGGAAUUCCACAAAUGAACUUGUGUAGAGGUCCAUGGCUUUCAGAAAUGCAUUCGUUUUGUUUACCUCUCACAACUACGCUGAGAAGUACAUACUGUCAGGCUACACUGCAGAUGAAGAAAUAGGUUAUAGGAGGGCAAGCACCCAUUUAAGGUCUCACACAGGUGAAAGGGCAAAGCGAACUCAAUCAAGGUCUCUGGAUGCCCAGUGCCUUUGGUACUUCCACCUCGCGUGCAGGAGGAAAAGAGCGAAAUUUGACAACAGAAGAGACUGGAGAUGGCCUCAGAGUGCUGGCCGGCCCCACUUUCUAUCCCCCGUGGUGAGAGCUCAGCUGGGCCCAGAGAACUUGUCCCGGGGAAUGCCACCACGACAUGUGUGACUCUGUCCCGCAGGGUGGAAGGCUUCGAAGGAUCCCGCCACCAUGCAGUGGGCCUCACUGUGUGUCAAGCGCUGUGCCGAAAUCCCUGCAGCCGGAGCCAGUUCUUCCUGUUGCACAGACAGGUUCAGGGGCUUGCCUGACCGAACCCAGCGGCAAUGUGCCCGGCCUCCGCGCCUGAGGCUCUGGCUCACAGACCUGUGGCUGAAGCAGCUGCAGCCCGAGCACUUGUGCAGCUGACGCUCGCUUCACGGACGCUUGGGAGGCCGCCGAGCCGGGGGCCAUCAGGCAGACUGGGCCCCUGAAGGUGCAGGGACUGGGGGGAUAUGGGGCAACGUGCCGGCCCAGAGGCUCCUGGGGGGUGGGGAGAGGCCAGAUCUCGGAAAAUGGGGCGCGUCCCCCUCAGCACCCGAUUCUGCCUCAUAGCCCUCGGUCCCUACCAGGCCCUCGGCUCGGCCACACCCCCGCCUGCCCCCCAGUUCUGCCCCCUUGGCUCCCCAGCCCCCCAACUCCCAGCCUCGGGUUCCUCAGGUCCGCAGCGGCCCCUCUUGCUCCUCGGCCCCCCGCACUGCACCCCCGCACCCUUUCGGUGCACCCAUGUGAGCCUCGUCUCGGCCUCCUUGCCUCCCCAGCCCUCUGAUUCCACCCCUCCGGUUCCUCGGUCCCAUUUCACCCCUGUGCGCCUUGGGCGCUCGCCUGACCCUCGUCCCAGCCCCGUCAGCCCUCUAAUCCCGUCCCCCCCGGCCUCCUCACCCCUGGUCUCCGCGGGCCUCAGCUGUCUCCUCGCGGCUCCGUGUCCCGCAAGCUGCUGCCGGUCGGCCCCGCCCACUUCCCGUCCCUGGCCGCCGCGGGCGCCGCGCAGGCGCAGUCGGGCCUCCAGGCUGGCGGGGCCGGACCUCUGCUGCCCCCUGGCGGCUACGUGGACGGUGACUGCGGCCCUUUAGUGGUAGGCGAACUGCGGCUCCACCUGGGCUCCGGAGCCGCCCGUCACCAGCCUCUUGCUUCUCUUCUGCAGCUUUGGGUGGGCGGCUGGAUGGGGAAAGCAAUCCCUAGGUCACAGCGCCCAGAAAUUAAGCAACUUCUGCCGUCAACAGCUGGUACGUGACAGAGCGGGGAUGCAAACCCAGACUGCCCAGGCAGGCUCAUCCGUCGGGGAAGGAGGCACAGUCCCAGGCUCAUUAUGAGUUGUUUGUUUCCACAAACGUUGAGGCUUUUGUUAUCUUUCCGUUCUGGAGGUCAGAAGUCCACUUAGCCUCAGUGGGCGAAGAUCCAGGGAUCGCCAGAAUGCGUUCCUUUCUGAGGAUUCUAGGGGAGAAACUGUUCCCCUGCCUUUUCCAGCUCCUAAGGGCUCCCUGCAUACCUUGGCUCGUGGCCCCUUCCUACAGCCUCGAAGCCAGCAAUGGCCAGUUGAGCCUUUCUCACACUGCCACCUCUGAUUCCCUCCUCUGCUUCCUUCUGCUACUUCUAAAGACCCUCCUGAUGCCAUUGGGCCCACCCAGAUAGUCCAGCAUCAUCUCUCUAAAUCAGUUGAUUAGCAACCUUAAUUCCCCUUUGCCCCUUAUUAUUAUUAUUAUUAUUAUUAUUUUGACACGGAGUCUCACCCUGUCACCCAGGCUGUACUGCAGUGGCAUGACCUCGACUCACUGCAACCUCUGCCUCCCUGGUUCAAGCGAUUUUCCUGCCUCAGCCUCCCGAGUAGCUGGGACUGCAGGCACGCACCACCAUGCCCGGCUAAUUUUUUUUGUAUUUUUAGUAGAGAUGGGGUUUCACCAUGUUGGUCAGGCUGGUCUCAAACUCCUGACCUCAAAUGAUCUGCCUGCCUCGGCCUCCCAAAGUGCUGGGAUUACAGUACAGGCGUGAGCCACUAUGCCGGGUCUGCCAUGUAAUCUAACACAGGCACAGGUAUAGGACAUGAACAUCUCUGAAGGGCCAUUUUUCUGCCAACACGGAGGCUCAUGAAAAUAUUCUUUUUCUCUCUUUUUAGAGACAAGCUCCUUCUCUGGUGCCCACACUGGAGUGCAGUGGCAUAAUCACAGCUCACUGCAGCCUCAAACUCCUGGGCUCAAGUGACCCUCCCCUCCUGCCUCAGCCUUCCUAGUGUCUGGGAACACAGGCAAGCACCACCACGCCCAGCUGAUUAAAAAAAAUUUGUAGAGACAGGGUCUCUAUGUUGCCCAGGCUGGUCUUGAACUCCUGGGCUCAAGUGAUCCUCCUGCCUCAGCCUUCCCAAGUGCUGGGAUUAUAGGUGUGAACCAUUACACCUGGCCAAAAUAUUUUAUUUUAAAGGCAGAAGAAAGAAACCUUUAUGUCAAAGAAAAUGUUUUAAUAUAUGAUAUUAAUAUAUUCACCUUUAUACCAAUGCAGUUGGAAAGUAUAAUUUUUUAAAUGGAGGAUGGGGCACCAGAUCUUAUGUGGCUCUGCCCACCUGGCCUUCAGGUCCGCAGGCCUGUGUCCUUGCCAGGAAUGAAUGUCUCUGGGAUGCUUCUCCAACAGGAGGAACCUGGAGUGAGACCAGGAACCUGGAGAACUAGCAGCUGGGUGACUGGAAAGGAAACCAUCUGGGGUGGGGUUGGGUCUGCAAGGCAGGAGGUGUCUGGGCAGAGAAAGCAGGGCUGGAGCGGAGGGUCCUGCCUCAUCCCAUUCUCCUGCUCACUCCUUCCUCGAUCCCUGUCAGGGCAGUAACCAUGAGCAAGGCUUGAGGCUACUUCUUAUAAACAGUGGCCCUGGGCACAUUCCUUAGCUCACCUGAGCCUCAGUUUCUUGAUGAGAAAAAAUCGGGACAAUAGCAACCAACCUAUCUCAGAGGGCUGCUGUGAGACCCUGAGCCACUGUUUCUCAAACUGCCCCUGAGAUCACCUACAACAGAAUGGCUGUAGGGUGAAGUUUGAGAACCGCAGUACAGGUGAGGUGGUGCGUGGGGCAGGCCCUCCCACACUGUAAAGUGCAGUGUGGUGCGGUAAAAGCUGAUAUUCCCACAGGCAUCCUCAGAGGGGGCCCAGUUAGACUCUUGAGCACUGAUUCCAUUCAAGGUCUGCGGCUUAGAGAGGAUGGCAAAGUGAGGCACCACCAGGAGCUUGUCCCUAUGGGCUCCAGGCCAAAGACCUGCCUCACUGUCCACAUUCCAUCACGCCUCAGAUCCUGGCUUCCACCCUGGUGAAAGGAAUCUUUCAAUAUCACCCACCCAGCCACAGACGCUUCUCUGCUUCUCUGGCAAGGCUGCACCCCUGGCUAGGUGGGCAGGGCCAGGGGCUCCUUGAGACAGUCUGCAGCCACUGACCUCUCCAGCCUCCAGGGCAGAGGUACAGUCCCAUGGAGCGUGGCUGAUCUGAAGGCAGUUCUGGCCUAAAAGGGGUCUUGUCCCUUCCUUGUCCUCAUUGCUCCCAAGGCCAGGUUGGCAGCAGUAGCAGCGGGGUUGGAUGCUAUUGGAUGGGAGAAGGUGAAUGGACUCGGAGUGCAGAAUCAAGCUGCGGAAGCCAAGGGCCUUGAAGGAGGGUCACACACAAGGGACAAUUGCAGAGGAAAAAAAAGGAACACUUUGUGAUUAUCCCUGCCUGUGGCUGAAAGCGCAGUGCAGAAGCAUAGUAAGGAAGGACUGGGUGGUCUGGGUUUAAGACCUAGGAACCGUCUCUGCUCCUCCAAGCCUGAAUUAGCCCUAUAACCUAAGGGUCCUGGAGGUCUUGAAACCUUCUGCGGAGAAGGCUCCAGGUCCACUGGGCCCUGUGGGUGGAAGAGCAGAGUCACAGCCCUGCACUGGGGACCUAACAGGUGUGGCCUUGCUAGGGCCCCAGAAUGGGACCAGAGUGGGUGGGAGGGGGCAGAAGCUCUGAGAGCACCCCCUCCUUCCUGAAGCCUGUGCUUCUGAGACACAUCCCAGGACCCUCUAUGUGGUUCCCCAUGUCUCUGUGUAUUUUCAUUCAGCUUCGAGUAGCUCUCCAAACUGUGUUCCAGGGAACCCCUGUGUUAACCUGUGAGGGCCUCCAGGAAGGGGGUCCAGGUGGGGUAUGCUUGGUGGGCUCUGGGUUUCCUUACAGGAGCUCUCAUAUAAGUCCUGGUGCAGCCUGGGAAUCUACUACUGAGUUGGGGCGGGGGCAGGUCUGAGUCCGAAACAUUCCUGACCUGCCCCUCAAAGAAAGGUCCCACUGAACAGUCUGGAAAGCUGUUUUGCUGAGCUCCCGUCAUCACUCAGUGAGGCACGGGUGGAGUGUGGAGGGAGUUUCCAACACACAGUGGAUCCCGCACAGGUGUCUCUCCUCGGGUGGCUGGGGAGGGGAGCACAAGAAGGCACUGAGGUCAGAGGGCAGCUGCCACCAGCACCUGGCACCACAGGGCAGUCUGGCCUACAGGGUAUUUUCUAAACCUGGCAUGUGAAUGGGUUCCAUGGGGCACCCAGCUGCCUCUAAGACCAUAAGGGCUUGUUGUGAGAAUAGGAAUCGCAGCAGGCCCUGGGAAGCUGCCAGACGCGCACAGGCACCAUGUACAGGGCUUCUCAGAGAUGGGAGCAGGGAGCAGGGGACGGAGAAGCGUGGGGUCAAGAGGGUGGCCCUGAGCAGGGGGCUGCAGCGAAGACCAAGGGGAUUCAUAAGCCAGAUCCAGGGAGGGGGUCUCCUAGCCCCACCUGCUCCACUAGACUCCUCUCCUGCCGGAGCCACAGCUGUCAAGGCCGCCUUCCUUAAGGCAUCAGGGCCACUGCUUGUGCACACAGCUACCAUCAGCAGCACGGAUUGAGAUGGGGUGUGAGUGCAAACUGGGUCUAUUCCCCAGGGCUUCAGGGUUGGGGCAUCCCUGCCCGUACUGCCAGGGUGUAGGGAUAGUAGGGAGCACUCUGGGCACGUGUAUGCAGGCUGAAGGGAGACGUAUUGGGUUUCGGAGAGGGAAAGAGGGCCCCACAGGUGCCCAGGGACACGGUAACGCUCUGACAUCGCUGCACCAGCAAAGGGGCCCCAGCUCUGGAUAAGGUAAAAUGCAUUUUAAUAGUUUGAAGUGCCAUGAGGUGUCUGCAUGGCACUGCAGCCUGGGUGAGGGAGGACAGGGUCAUCAUACAAAGUAGGCGGCCAGGGCUGACAUCUUGUCCUUGGGCCGUCUGGGGUUGGGCUUCCCAGGGGGCCUCCUGGCCCGGCCCCGCCCUCGACCCUGCCUUCUCCCUGGUCCACCGCGGUGCAUGGGGUGGCAGGAGGCCGCAUGCUUCAGCUCCACCAGCUCCUGGAAGACGGGGUCACAAAAGACGCAGCCCAUGUGCUGCGUCUCAUUGCCCGGGAGUGGGGACUUGGCCUUGUUGAAGUCCACAUCAAGCAAGGCGGCCUCACAGACACUGCAGGUGUCGGCGGACACCCGCACGCGGUGGGCGUUCUCGAAGCAGUGCGCUACCACAUUGCACUUGUUGCAGGCCACCUUCCACUUGGGGCCCGAGGUGGGGUCCAGCACCAGCACCCCGCUCUCACAUUCCACGCACUGGCCGAUGCCCAGCAUGCUCAGCGAGUGCUGGCAGGAGGGGUGCGUACACUCGUUGCAGCCCAUGCCUGGCGGGAGAAGGGAGCCCUGUAAAGGCACGCCCACUGUGCCCACCUGCCCUCUGCUGCCUGCUCCCAAUGCCUCAAGCUCCUGGAUCCCUCGUCCCAGCAGAAGGAACUCUUCUUGGCCUUGCUCUUGGGGACAGCCUUGCUCAUGUUUUGGCUCCUGGCUGCCAUUACCCCUGUUUUCUGCUUACCUGAAACCUCCUCAACUUUCAAGGCCCCUCGCUGGCGCCAUCCCAGUGGGUUUCAGCUGACUCCAUCCCCCCUUUGCUUUGCUGCCAGCUUGUUACUGGUAAUGCCACAUGACCCUCAUGUCACUGGGCCACAUGGAACCACCCUGUCAGCUACUCUGGCGGCAGCAGGAGGGCAGGGAUGGGGUCUCACUCCCGGGGCAGCCUGGGUGCAGACUGAGGCCCGAGGGGGCUUUCUGCAGAGCACACGGUGAAUGUGGGCAGAUGCCUCACUCCCGCUGAUUCCUGGUCUGGCUCGGUGCUCUGUCCUGCCUGCCUGGACAUGCGCUCCCUCCUCCAGUAAUGAGGACGAGGAUGAGGAUGGAGGACAGUGGUGGACGCUGACUGGGGGUGCCCGCUCACCGGGUGGGUCCCCUGACUGCUGCAUCCUCUUGCUCACUCAGCUCCAGAGGGAGCACUGCACACCUGUGCCCAGGUCCUGAGGGUGGACUAGGGUUGCCUGCUCGAUUCUGACACAGAGAGAGGGUGGCACCACUGGCUGAGGCCUAAGCAGUGCCCCAGCUACAUCCAGGGUCUCUCGUCUCAGUGCCAAUGAGUGCAGGAAAGGCCAGGGUGAGGGGUCCCCUCAGAGUCCAGCCUGGUGCAAGGCAGGGGUUGGCACUGAAAAGAGACUGCAGCUACCUGUGGACAGGAGGGAGCGGCUGCACUCACCUUUCUUCAUGUCUCGGAAGGGUGGGUGGUUGUAGCAGUAGGGGCACAGCGGGUAGCUCUUUCCCCGAGAGCCUGAUGACCACAGGACCAGCUCGAAGUCAUCCAGAGGGCAGCGGAGCUCCUUGUAGAGCUUGAUGGUGCCGUUCUGGGGGAGCGUGUAGGUCUCAUCGCAGUGGGAGCAGUGCAGGCGGCUUGGCUUGGCCUGCGGCAAUGGCAGGCAGGCAGCGUGAGGGUCACUGGGGCCACUGACUUGGCACCCACCCCCACUCCUCUCAUAAUACAAAGUAUGUAAUCUGUCAUGCAGAACCUGUGACACACUGCCAGGCAAGGAGCAUGAGUCUCUGGCUCUUGCUCCACGCGUGCAGAAAAGGCAGUUCUAAAAUCUCUGUGCGUACAUUAAUGCCCAUGAUGGCAAGUGGCAUGGUGUUAGGGAAAAAUGCACCAUGUGUGUUUGCGUGGCCUAAUGGCUGUGUGUUCUAGGGGACAUGGGGACACUGGGUAUUUUUUGGCAAGGCUUCUUUAUGCUCAAUCAUUCUUUUGUGACAACCAGGACAAAGAACAUGAUUCCUGCUGAUCAACGAUAAAGCUGAGGCCUACAGGGGUGAGGCAGCUUGCCUGAGCUAGUGUUCCCUGCACCUACCUGGAUGUACUUCAUGAAGCGGUGGCACUUCCCACAGCGUGAAAGGGGCUUGCCUGUGGCCGCCAGGGGCGAGAAAGACACCUCCAUCAACUCAUCCAUGCCUGCGGGCAAGCAGAGUGCAGGAGUCAUCUCCCUCCCAGUCCCCAGCAAAAGGCUCCGCAACAUGUGGUCAAGGGUCUGAGUGUGAAAGGGUCCCUAUAGGCGGUGGUUUCUACUGUCCCUGGCAGCACGGCAGGGCAGCAGCCCUGUGCGUCAGAGGCACGUGUUCCUGGCCAUGUGUGGUGUUAAUGCACCUGCUCUUUCAACCCAGCCAGGAGGUGUCACUGCCCUGGCCUACGGAGGCCUGAAGCCCAGAUCUGGGAGCUGGUCCCACGUGGGGACCUAGGUUCCCAGGUACUGGCCUUGCUGACAGAGAGACACCCCUCUGGUGAGGGGCAGGCCAGAGGCAGACUCUACCAGCAAUGGAGUCGACAAAGUAGUGGAACUUCCUCUUGAACACGUCCAGGGUGUGGCCAAGGACCUGGCGGUAGUCGGCCUUGCCCUGGGCGAUCAGGUUCAGCUGCUUCUCCACUGCACUGCGGAUGGUGGGGAGCACCAGCUCUGCAUCUGCAAGUGGGCAGGGGGCAGAUAUUGCCCUGAGCACUCGCACCCAGGGCCAUGCCACCCCUUCCCAGGCAGGGAUACUGCCCUGUUCACCCCUCCCGCUCUGGCCCGUCCUCCUGGCCUCUGCCCUACCCACCAGUCCACAGCCUCAGAUGGUACCAGGCUGGCUCUUAUGACCCCAGACCUUUCCUGAUUUCCCACCUGGAAAUGUCAGGCAGAGUGGCCAGGGAUGUCCUGUGGCUAGAACCACAUCACAGAUGAGCUCCAGGCCGCCCUUGGGCCAGUUUUGUGCUCCUCCCUCUCCCCUUGGCCCCUGGGGAACCUCCAGGGAACAGGGCUGAGGCAACUUCGCCUCCCCUUUUGGUUCCCUCACACAUCUGUUCAGCCUUCAAACACACUGAGCUCCUGCUCUGGGCAGGUCCUGGGGGUCCUGGGGCAGCACCCCUUCAGCGGGUGUUGAGGGAGUGUGUGUGGGGCUGGGGGAUCACUGUAGGGCAGGGGCCUGUCUGGAGCGGGCAGCAGAGCCAACAUCCAGGGAGAAGCCAGGGAGCCUCGGUGGGCCCUGGGGGCAGGACUGAGGAACUCACCAAUCUUAUAGUAGCCGUGCACCAGGACAAUGCCGAGGUUGGUGGGCUUGAGCCGGCGCCCGCUCUCCACCGUGACAUAGUUGCGCUGGCAGAUGUUGUUGAUAUGCACAGGGAUGCUGGCAUCUGUGCCUGCAAUGUACAAGGCCCCAGGGUUCCUGGCCUGCCUUGGACAUGCCCCACUGAACCAUGUGCUGUAUCACCUGUCACGGGGCCCCUGGUGCUCAGGCCCUCUCACUGCUCCCGGUCACAGGAGGGAGGGCUGUGCCCUGAGCUCCCCCUGCACUGUGCUGGGCACCAACUGCAUGCAUUUCAUGUUCUGCCUUGAGAACGCAAGGGCAGCCCUCCCUGGACGGGGCGCCUACUCCUGCUUUAUGGCAGAGACAACAGGCUCGGAGGUUAAGGAACUCUCCAAGGUCACAGUGCUUAUUCUGCGCCUGGAAAAUGUGACUUCUAUGGCUUCUCCUGCCUGGGUCCUGUGGCACCCACCUGCUCCCGGAGCCAGAGCCCCACUCCACCAGAACACGGAGGUGCUUACAAGCUCACUGCAGAGCUGCCCUCCCCUAAACCUGGACAAUUCUGUCCACUUCCUGUCUCCCACCUCCUCCCUCUCUGCAAGGCCCGUCACGAUCCCCAGGGGAGGCUCCCAGUCCCCAGGAUUCCACUCUCCCACCCAGAGGAGGUUUCCUGGCAGAGGGGUGCAGCGGAGGCUGAGGCGUUUUGACUAUGGCGGGUGCCAGUCAGAGGGGCAGAAAGGAGGCUGGGGCUCCCUGCAUGCUCACCAGCAUGGACAGGUGACACACACCUUCCCAAAGUAGCUCGGAGAGAAUCUCACAUGGGAAGAAACUGGCCUCUGGGGGCUAAGGAGCCUGCCGAGGGCCCAUGGCUCUUGGCACGAGGCCAGCUCUGCACCCGGUGUGGCAGGCUGUGGGUGGCGUGUGCCACUACCACCCCGAGUCUGCCGGGCGCCAUGACGCGUGGUGUGGGCUCCUCUGUGGCGGCUCUGGUCAGGCCCUUUUUACACACUCCUGGGGGCUCAGUCACAGGGCCACCCUGACCACUCUCCUGUUCAGAAGGUAACACCAGAGCCCUCUUCACUGUCAUAAACUUGUAUUGAUGACUGGGUCUGGCUCACUGGCUAGCAUAGGGCUGCCAGGAGCCAGUGUCCCAUCAAUGCGAGAGGGCAGAGGACACGGGGGAGCAGAGCCCACACUCCACAGUGGGCUGAGGGCUAUUUCAGGACCCUGGCAGGUGCCCUGGACCCCUGAGAGGAGCAAGCCCAGAGCUCUGCUCUCCUGCCAAGAUCGCCAUGGUCACCAGGACCCCAGCCUGGGAAGAGACACUCCCUGAGAGUCCACCUAUAUGACCACUGCUGGAGCAGAGCCUGGACACAGUGGCUGUGACAUCCCACAGGUCUCCAGAGCCUGUCAGCCAGGGGUAGUGCCCCAGGGAACAGGCAGUGCCCAGCGGCGCGAGUGCCACCUGGGGAGAAGGCUCCGGCAGUGAGGCUGGCCCCCAACAUGUGAGACAUCUCACAGCUCCAGGCCUGGGGACUUGUGAGGCCACCACUCCUGUGAGGAGUGUGCACUGGUGACUACACUUUUGCUUUGAUAAACUCCCUGGGCUGCCCGUUUUUGCGUGGAAACUUCCUGGUCACCCUUUGGGGAGCCCUGUGCCUGGGACAGGCAUUUCUGUUCUCUCCCAGGGAAGCAGCUCCUGUGAGAUCUCAUUUCCCUGUCACCUGAUUUCAGGACAGCCCAGGCUGGCUGUGUGGACUCAGGGGACUGCCAAUAUGAUUUCUAUGAGUCACCUGGCAUCUGGGCCAAUCUUCAGCCUUGUGGGCGUUAGUCGGUGUGUGCACACCCCACAGUGCACGAGGGCACAUCUGGGCCCUCACAGGGAAGGCCAGGUCCUGAAUGGAGGCCUCAGGAGGGGAUGCCCGCUGUGGACCUGCCUGGCUGGCCACACACUGGGUCACCAGUUUCCAGAUACCAGCCCAUGGAGGGGUGCUGGGCUGGGCACACAGGGCUGGCGGGGCAGCUUUGUGAGUAGACUCGAAGCCUGAGUACUGGAGACGGAGCCGGCUCUGGGGCCUGGGCAGGCGCACCCACCGAUGCCAUGCUUCUCCAUGAGCGUGAUGAGCUCGGCCUCCGUCAGGUAGUCGGGUGGGUUCGUCUGCUUCUCCAGCAUCUUCACCUCGCCCACAGGGAAGGCGUCACCCCGCUGGCAAGUGGGCAGGCUCUCCUCCAGGGGCACGCUCUGCCAGGGCAUGACCUCCGUGAAGCCUGGAGAGAUAUGCGCCACCACUCAGGGUUCCCAGCCUGGGUGGCUGGGGCCUCAGACCCUGGGCCUCCCAUCCCCAGACACAAUGUAGAAUGUUUGUCUGCCCAUGAAGGCACAGAGGAGGAAGGCUGGGCCCGUGGUGUGACCUGGUGAGAGGACGGUCUUCCCGGAGCAGGUGAAGAGCUCGGGCCCAAUUCUGAAGGAGAUGGUGCUCUGCAGGUACUUGCAGUCAUGGCUGACCGUGGCGAUGAAGUGUCUGGUGAUGUACUCAUAGAGCCGCCACGCGUCACCCCCUGCAACAGGCCAGGGCUAGUCAGUUGGGAGCCAGCUGGGGGCUCUGGCCGUGAGGAGCCCCCAGUACUCUCGCUCGAGCAGCAAGGUCCUGCUUACAGAGCCGCUGUGCAGGACACACUGCAAAUCCUGGGGAAGGAGGAAAGAAAAUGUGCAGGAAGGCCGGGCGUGGUGGCUCAUGCCUGUAAUCCCAGCACUCUGGGAGGCUAAGGUGGAUGGAUCACUUGAGGUCAGGAGUUUGAGACCAGCCUGGCCAACAUGGUGAAACCCCGUCUCUACUAAAAAUACAAAGAAAUUAGCUGGGUGUGGUGGUGGGAGCCUGUAAUCCCAGCUACUCGGGGGGCUGAGGCAGGGUGAACUGCUUGAACCUGGGAGGCAGAGGUUGCAGUGAGCCGAGAUCGGGCCACUGCACUCCAGCCUGGGUGACAGAACAAGACUCUGUCUCAAAAAAAGAAAAAAAAAAAAAGCAAAUGCGGAGGAAGGGAACACAAGCCUCCAUGCCUCAGUGGUUCCUUUCUGGCUGCGGCUCCCACCAUCCUGCACAACCUCCUGUCCCUGCUUCUGGCGGGACUGCUCUUCAGGCAUUGGCCUGUCUUUCCACUGUCUCGUGACAUGACACCAUUGCUUCAAACUCAGACUGUCCACAGGUGGCUCCUGUCUCUACCUGCACUGCUCUCCCUUCCUCAUUUGCCUUCUCCUGGCACUCGGACCACUGGUACCACCUUAGGCCAGCUGGGAGGUAGGAGGUGUGCUGCCCCCUCCCCCACACCGCCACUCUCUACCCUGGUUUCAUUCAUGUCCCCCGUGGCGUCUGCCCCCUUGCCUCCCUGCAACAGCACCUGCUGCUACCUCUUCACUCCUGUCCUGGUCCCAUAGCAAUGGAGCUCAUCUUCCAGGUGGCCCCCCAUCCCCACAGCCAGGGCAGGCAGAGGCUGAAGGAGCCCCCACAUUGCCAACAGGGCCUGCAACCUUCACUGUCGCAGCUCGCCCUUCCCUCCCUGGAAGCACACCGGGUAUGGGAUGAGAGCGGUACCUAAUUCGGCCUCUGUGGCAGACUUCAUGGGGGUGAUGGGGGGAUGGUCGCCAGCGUCAUGGCCUUUCCGCGGGCGGUUGAUACCUUCUGCUAACAACCGCUUCACCUGAGGGAGAGAAGACAGAGCAGAGUCUGUGGCUGGGCUCGGCUGCCUGCCUGGGUUUGGCUGAUGUACCAGACCUGGUCCCAAGGCCUCAGUGACACACACACAUGCUGAGGCCGGCCCGGCUCCACUCACCGUGUCGGCCCAGUAGGGGUGGUUGGCCUGCUGCCGCAGAGAGCCCUUCAGGUCAAAGUUCUCAGGGUAGUGGGUGGUCUCUGUCCGUGGGUAGCUGAUGUAGCCUUGCGUGUAGAGCCGCUCAGCCGUCUGCAUGGCGUGCUGCGGCCCCAUGCCUGCGAGAGACAGGAGGUCCUCAGAGGGCCAGGUACGUGGGGAUGGCCAGCUGCCUGCCCUGGCCUAUGCACUCAGGCUCCCCCAUUGUGGCCGGCCCCUCCUGGAGGGUGACGGUGGCUCUGAGCAGGCACAGCUGGAGUGCAAAGCUGCUGGCCGGGUGGGCACCUAUGCCACACAGUCUUGUAUGAGGCUGAAUCCUGCACCCGUAAGGCUGAAUCCUACACCCAGGAUGGGCCUGAUGGGAAACGCCGCUCACUCUACCCCACGGUGCAUCCUCAUGGGGCUCAUGGCCAUGGGGAUGAGACAUGGCCUUCAGAGCACCACUCCCCAUGCAUUGUCCAUGGAGCCAUAACCAUACCUCGGGGUUGGCUGACGACAGAGUUAGCACGCAGCCCCAUUUUGAGCCCUUGGGUGUUUCUGUCCUCACAGCACUUUGGGGCCACUCAGGGGGGCUCGUCCUGCUACUCCCUGACCAGCAGAGGCAGGCGCUUAGCUAGCAACCACUCCCAGCAUUGCUGCCCUCUGAGGACGCUGGAGCCACCACUCAGUGUCCACUGAGAGGACACUGCCCAUAGUUCCCUGCGGGGGUGGGGGGCACCAAUGCCUAGGGGCUGACAGCUGCCAGAGACCACCAGCUCUCCAGCCCAACCCCCUCCUCGUUACUAAGGAGAAAAGGCUGAGGAGAUGAGGCUGAGGGGCGACGUUCACACUGGUUCCCUGAAGGUGACAUCUGGCUGGGGCCUCUCCCCUCACCAGGGAUAGCUGCUCAGGGACUCUAACAUCAGGAGGUCCCCUCAGGUGGUGACCAACUUUACCACCUUUACAACCUAAGGAUAAGUGAAAUCCUCCUGAGGCUCAGAUCCCCUUGAAGCCUUGGGCACCAUCCUGCAACCCUGGGCACUCGCUGCUCCAGGCUGAACCUGCCUCAGGAAGCCUUCUGGUGACUUGAGAGAAAUGUCCCUACAUACCCAGAGAAGAGCUGGCCACACGCAGCAUCUCCACAGUGUUCAGGGCCAGGGGCCUCUGCUUGGCCUUUUCUUUCCUGCUUGUGGCCUCCACCUGGAAGACAGGACAGUCAAUGAUUUGGGGAAGGAGGAAGACACUACCACAGAGGGAAUCAAGAUGUGUGGACGAAGGGUCUGGUUUCAUUCAUCUGGUCUCCCUGUUUCUCCAAUUCAUUCUUCCCAACAGUCUAAAGACUUGAUUGAAUAUUUAUUCAGGACCAGGAAAGGAAAAAGAAUGAAAAUUCUUUUUUUAAAAAAAAUUUUGGCUGGGUGUGGUAGCUCACGCCUGUAAUCCCAGUACUUUGGGAGGCUGAGGCGGGUGGAUCACCUGAGGUCAGUAGUUCGAGACCAGCUUGACCAAGAUGGUGAAACCCCGUCUCUACUAAAAAUACAAACAUUAGCUGGGCAUGGUGGAACGUGCCUGUAAUCCAAGCUACUCGUGACGCUGAGGCAGAAUUGCUUGAACCUGGGAGGUGAAGGUUGCAGUGAGCUGAGACCACGCCAUUGUAAUCCAGCCUGGGUGACAGAGCAAGACUCCAUCUCAAAACAAACAAACAAACAAACAAAAAACCAAAUUUUGUUUUUUUUAAGAGACAGGGUCCUGCUCUGUCGCCCAGGCUGGAGUGCAGUGGCACCAUCAGAGCUUACUGUAGCCUUGAACUCCUGGGACAAGUGAUCCUCCUGCCUCAGCCUCCUGUGUAGCUGAAACCACAGGCACACACCAUCAUGUCUGACCAAUUUUUUUUUUCAAUUUCUUGUACAGACAGGGUCUUGCUAUGUUGCCCAGGCUAGUCUUAAAUGAACUCCUGGCCUCAAGUAAUCCUCUCGCCUCAGCUUCUCAAAGUGCUAGGAUUACAGGCACGUGCCACCAUGCCCGUCUACUUUUUAAAUUAUUUUUUUCAGAGACAGGGUCUCCCUGUGUUGUCCAGGCUGGUCUCAAACUCCUGGCCUCAAGUGAUUGAAUAUUCUUUUCUGGAGAAUUUUCUAGGGAAAGAGAAAACCUGGAAGAUUGAGGAGGAGUCAGAAGGGCUGCAGAUGGAAAUCCUACAGAAGCCAGCAUCAGCCAAGCUACAGGGAUGGCAAGUGGGGCCCGUCCCAGGGGAAGUACCACUCCUUGUUGUGGGGAGGGCUGCUGCCUGCACCUGCUAGUAUUGCUACCUCUUCUGAUUUUUCAAGAGAAGCUAGAAGGCAGAAUUUUAGUAUGAAAUCUCAUAAUUUUUAAGUGCUGGUAACUAUUCUGGAAUUUGUGUAAACACCAUGCAGGUUAGUGGAGUGCAUCUGUGAGCUGUGCUUUGUUGGGGUCCUGCCACUCUCUACCUCUGCUGAACACUUGUCGGAAGAGACAACUCUUUGUUUUGCCUAUGGCAAAAACAAUCCAAACAACUCAACCCCAGGCCCUGGCCCUUGCCAAUCCCACGUAGGCUGGUCAGGGCAGUGCCUUCUGCAUUCCAGACAGACAGAUGUGGGUGCUAACAGAGGCCAGUUGUUAUGUGAAGCUGGGCUCCCCAGUGUGAGACCUGGAGGUGGCAACAGUGUCUCUGCAGGAAUGUGAUCAAUGCUGACAGCCUGGAGCAGCUUUAGAAGUUUCAGAUGCCUGAGACGAUGGCAUGGCGGGCAACAGGGCACUCAAGGAAGGCCAGAGAAGGACAAGGAGAAGGCGGCUAAGGAGGCCAGGCUGUGUCUUGACGGAUCUGGUAGCUGUCAUGCCUGUAGCAUGUUUACUUCAAUAGCCACAGAUGUGUCCCCAACCCGUGCAGCCAGGUCACCUCACCCUUUUCCUAACAGCCAAGCAGCAUGUCCUUUCAAUUCAUAGAAGCCGAGUAAGAAACAUAAUCCCAUAAAAGCACGCAAGCUGAUUGCAAUUGGAAUCUCAAGCCUUUCCCCUGCUAGCUGUGACCUUGGGCAAGUUCAUCAGUGUGCACCAAGGUCCCUCUACAGUUGUUAGUUUGAAUCUCUGUGUGAAAUGGAGUCCUGCCACACGGAGGUAAUGCCUAGCGGGUCACGUGGAAAGGGAAGAGUGGAAGGGGUCCGACAAGGUCACAGGUGUGGACAGUGCCUGGUAUGGAGCGGGCAUGCAGUACACUGUGGCUAUUGCACUGGGCAGAAAUAUCUUAGGAGUAUCUGAGGGAGUAACCACUCAGCUUUCCAAAAAGAUGUCUGUGUUUCAGAAAGGGGGAGAAAGACGUGGACUAGGAUCACAGGCUGUUCCUCCAGCGGGAGGCAUCCAAGGGCCACCCUCACCCAAGGCAACUGUGAUAGAUGUGGGUGGGGCAGGCACACCUGGGCUUCCUUCUCCAGCUUUGUCAUGUUUAAAAACAUCUGUGCGAUCUCCCGGUCGAACACUCUUACUCGGUCCCAGUCCAAAAGGAGAGACCUGUCUUUGUCAGUGUUAACCUGCAGGAAAAAGGAUAAAGGGUGAAUGCACAAGAAAAAGUCUCCAGGUGAGCCCAACGCCAGGAAGAACCAGGACAGAUGAAACUGGUCCUUGUCUGGGAGCAAAAUAGCCCUGGCUGUAAUGGCUCACAGCUGUACCUGUUCAGGUGGGCAGAUACGCAAGCUGACAUCUGGCCCUCUCCACCCCUUGCCCCAAAACCAGGCAGCCAGUCUCAGGAAGGUGGCCCAAAGCUGAGGCCGAUGUGUCCCUAAGAAGCACCUGAGCCCCUACUUCUCACACCACCCCUGCCUAUCCCCAGUGCCUGGCCAGUGGUAGGUAUGGCCACCGCCAGGGUCCCAAGCCCCGUGUCAGCCACAGCGUCUCACUGUGUUGCUAGGCUGGAGUGCAGUGGCACGAUCGUAGCUCACUGUAGCCUUGGACUCCUGGCCUCAAGCAAUCCUCUUGCCUCAGCCUCCCAGGCUGUUGGGAUUACAGACAUCAGUCACUGUGCCUAGCUGUAUUAAGUCUUACAGUGAGCUUCUGUGGAGGCUUUUAUUUGAAGAAAGGGUUCUAGGAAUUUUAAAAAGUUUGAAAGCCAAUGGUCUCAGUCCAGUGCUUGGACCUGACCACUGAAGCCACUGAUUCCUGUGGGGUGACCUCACCCUGCACUGCCAGAGCUGAACUCAUUCCCACUUAUCCAGAUUCAGCAUAUACAGGCCCAGUCUCUUCCCAUUGCCCCCAUGAAGGCUGGGGUCCCUCAGCCCUAGGCACCACAGACCACUUCCAGGUGCAGCCGUCCACACUUCUGCCCUCAGCCCGGGGCCUGCCGGCUGAUGAUGAUGGAAGACUCUCAGAAUCCAUGCCCCAAACCCAGAAAGCCCCAGCAUGAAUACAGAAAGGCAAGGAACCUUGGCCUGCAGCACCCAGUAGGUCUCUGGUUUGAAGGACUGGAUUUUAUCAUGUCUCUCCACACAGAAUCCCAGGGUUGGAGUCUGACAUGGCCCAAAGGAGAUGAGAGAGCUGUCUAAAUCACCGUAUUUCCCCUGGAAAUAUUUAGUCUGAAACCUGGAGGGAGUGGAAAGAUAUUUUGGUCACUGAUUCACUCAAGACACUAUUAUGGCCACCCAUGUGAGUCCAGCCCAAGGCCAGGGGUGGUGCAUGAAGGAGGUGGCAUCAGGUGGUGUCCCCACUUAGAAGCCAGUGGGAGCAGAGUGGGCAUAGCCUUAGGGAGGAUUCAUGUGUGUACAUGGGUGACAGAGCCAGUGAGAGAGUAGACAGAGGUUUCUACUGUCUCAGGCCAGGGAGCCUUCUAUUCUAUUCCAUCUACUGCACACUCUCCUCAGGACCCCCAGAGCACAGACAAACACACUUUAUCAAGCAGGGCAUAUGUGAUCUCUGUCAGCUAAAUAAACAAUUUUCUUUAGGUCUCUUUUGUUUUUGUAGAGACAGGGUCUUGCUGUAUUGCCCAGCAGGAGUGCAUUAAUGGGGAUUCACACAUCAUUGCAGCCUUGAACUCCUGGGCUCAAGUGAUCCUCCCACCUCAGCCUCCCAAGUAACUGGGACUACAGGCUCACACCACCACACCCAGCUAAUUAAAACAAAAUGUUUGGACAGGCACAGUGGCUCAUACCUGUAAUCCCAGCAUUUUGGGAGGCUGAGGUGGGCGGAUCACCUGAGGUCAGGAGUUCGAGACCAGCCUGGCCAACAUGGUGAAACCCCGUCUCUACUAAAAGUAUAAAAAUUAGCCGGGAGUGGUGGCAGGAGCCUGUAAUCCCAGCUAGUUGGGAGGCUGAGGCAUGAGAAUCACUUGAACCCAGGAGGCAGAGGUUGCAGUGAGCUGAGAUUGUGCCACUGCACUCCAGCCUGGAUGACAGAGUAAGACUCUGUCUCAAAAAACAAACAAAAAAAUAAAUACAUUUUUGUUUAGCCUGGGCGCAGUGGCUCACAUGUGUAAUCCCAGCACUUUGGGAGGCCAAGGUGGGCAGAUUGCUUGAGCUCAGGAGUUUCAGACCAGCCUGGGCAAUACAGUAAAACCCUGUCUCUACAAAAUGCAUAAAAAUUAGCCAGGCAUAGUGGUGCACACCUGUAGCACCUGUAGUGGAAGGCUCAGGUAGGAGGAUCUCUUGAGCCUGGGAGGCAGAGGUUGCAGUGAGCUGAGAUUGUACUACUGCAUUCCAGCCUAGGCAACAGAACAAGACUCUGUCUCAAAAAAAUAAUUUUUUUUUUUUUUUGUAGAGAUGGGGUCUUGUUAUGCUGCCCAGGCUGGUCUCAAACUGCCAACCUCAAGCAAUCCUCCCAUCCUGGUCUCCCAAAGUGCAGGGAUUACAGGUGUUAGCCACUGUGCCCGGCCUUCUUCAGGGUUGGUGAAAUCCCCUGUUGCUCAUCCUGGCUCGAGGAGGCCUAGGGGCCCCCGAGGGGGACCAGUAGAGGCAGGUCUCUGGCUGAGGGAGAGUGAGGGUGUGCCCAGGACUCUGCGGGUGUGGCCAGCACCUGGUGAACGCACAGCCGAUUCGCAGGUCCAGCUCCUGGCGAGCAUCCACUGAGAGCGCCUCGUUGUGGUCAGGCUCGCCCAGGCAGGCCAUGGCAUUACAGAUGUCUGUGUCCGUGAUGGAGCUAAACCUGGCCCGAAACACGGUCUUCUCGCCACCAUGGGCCUUGUUCAUGACGGGCAGAACAGCAUCAAGAACCUGGGGGUGGGGAGUGGCCAGCUGUGACCCACCUCCCAGAUCCCUGCCACAGCUCCCCACCCCACUGUGAAGCCUGGUUCCUUCCAGGAAAGAACACGUGUGCUCGGCUCCCUCUCCUGCCCCUGCCAGACCCUCCUCUAUCCCCUUUCCUGCACCUGCCAGACCCUCCUCUAUCCCCCUGCCUUUCCAGAAGCCCUGAGCACUCCACAACACCCCACCACAUGGCUUCCUUUACUCCCAUCUAGAAACAUACUCGAACACUCCCUUCUUACUCCCGCCCUCUCUUCUAAUCCUCUGCUUUCAUCCCCACCAAAUCAGGAAAUGCUACUGCCAAGUACAUGAGGGACCUCUUAGUCCCCAAACCCAUCCCAUGUGACACGAUUCCCUGCCUUCUAGGAGGGAGGGUUUGGAGGGGUGGGUGGAAAUUUUAAGAGGCUGAAGAAAAGACAGGGAAGGAAAAAAGAAUGAAGGGGAAAGGAAAUGGGCAAGAGCAGGAAGGCCACGGGUGGUCCUAGCUUGUGGUGGGGGCAGCUCGGGCUAAAGCACAGCAGGGGUCCUGGAGCCGAGACUCACUAGGAAGGCCGUGCAGUGGGACUAGGGUCGCCGCCGGAGCCUGGCCACGCAGCUUCCUUACUGGGAAUAAGUGGCUUCAUUUCUGAAGGGAGAAAGCCCCAUGAGCUGCCCCCAUUCUCCACUCCCAGAUGCAAAGGCCCCCAGGGAGGAGCCGCCCUGCAGGGGAGGAGAGGGUAUCUGGGAAGAGACAGAGUGUGAUCGCAUUUGCUGAGGGUGCUGUACUGCAACGCCAGGUGCCUCAGCUCUGUCUCUCUGACCAGCUCUUGAGCCACGGGUGAGAGCUGGGGGUACAGGAGCACAGGGGCGACCCAUAGGGAACAACAGUCUGAAGGGCACCAAGUGAGACCAGCAGUCAUGGCCACUGUGAGGGCACCAUGGCCGGGGCAAGCAUGGGGCAUGGGGUGUGCACAGGGAGCUGCCACCUGCUUCUCUGCAGGGCUCCCAGGGUUGGCUGGAGGCAGGAGGCAUCCUGGGUGAGGCAGGAGAUGAGCAGAGCGAGGCCUGCAAAAGGAGCUCAGUGCUGAGGUCGGGAAUCAACUGGCAUCAACCUAAGGUCCCUGAGAAGUCACGCUGGGCACAAGAUGCUGAACACCAAGCUGCCCCAAGACAGUCCCAUUCUGAAACCUGCAUCCACCCAGACAAUUUGGCCCCUCCUAUGUUCACUCAUACCGUGAGGCCUCAGCAAGCGGAGGAACAACUGACCACCUUUAAUAGAGCCUAUGCAGUUAAAAUUAUCUGUGGAGUUUCAGAAUAAAGGGAGGGGAGAGGUGUUUUUAAACCGGUACAGUUUACUCCCUCAUUUGGCCCCAGGAGUGAUGUGACUGACUGCUGGUGUCAGUUUGGGGCUGGCGUCAGAAAGGCCAAAAGUGAGGACCAAAGUGAGCCUCACACUCACCUCAAAGCAGAUGUUCUCCCCCUCCUUGUCGCAGUCCAGCCACAGCACGAUGUAGUCGCAGCCUCUGCCCUCCACCUGCCACACAGCACAGGUUCACACGUACCUGCUGCAGACCUGGUCCGUGCCACCCGCCCCCAGUGCUCCCAUCCAGGACAGGGCUUGGUCCCAGGCCCUGAACCUCAGUUAGGAGGACUGGUACCUGGGCUGGGUAAGGAGCUGGCUGUGUUGAGGCUGGCUCAGCCAACAGAAAAGAAUUGAGUUUAUAGUUGAUGUUUUUUGGACCAAAAAAAAAAAAAGUAUAAAUGCAACAUGAUCUUACACCCCAAAACUGCCCAGAAGAAGGGUUAAAAUGAAAUAACCCUAAAUGAUAACAGCAGUUGUCUUGGGUAAUAUGAUUAUGCAUAAUUUUUUUGUCUUUCUACUUAUCUGCACUUUCUAAUUUUCCAUAAUCUGUAUGCAUUUGUUUUAAAAUUAAGGAGAAAACCCCCCCGACCAAACAAGCUAUUUUAAAAGCAGAAGGCCUGCUCUCCAGGACUGAGAGUUGGCAAUGGCAACUGCCUUGUGUGUUGGGGGUGCCUGCAGGUGCCUCGUGGGCCAGCAGGGGGCACUCACAGAAAAAGCUAGCAAAGGCCCCCCUGUCCAAGGGGGAUUAGGACUCAAGCAAGGGUGGGCAAGGACAUGGCAGCUGUGGAGGGUGGGGAGCCCCGGUGUGCUCAUGCCCAGGCCAGCCACACGCACCUGCAGGAACUUCACCAUGUUCAGCUUGGGGUUAGCUUCUUUCUUCUCCGUGGGAGCUUGGCUGAACAGUUCUGCGGGGUCCACUUUGUCCCAUUUGUUGUAUUUUCCUACAAACCAGUCACAGUGACAUUGAGUCACACCUCACAGUUCACAGGAGCUCAGCCUCCGAGACCAUCAUAACCCCAGGAGGAUGUUGGUCUCAUCCCACAAAUGAGGAGGGGAAAGCUUGGAGAACAAUUCGCCCAGGGUCAUCCUGAUGAUCAGAGGCAGAGCCAGGAUGUGGGUUCAGGCCUUUGGUAACCCCCUCCCAUCCAGCCUCCUUUCUGCUCGGCUGCUGAGCGGACCCACCACACCCCGGCCAACCACAGGAGCCAAGCAAGCUCUCGGGGGGCUGCCACUCUGGCCUCACUUCCGGGACUUUCCCUGUGGCUGGGAGCACCAUUCCUGGGCUGGGUCUCUUUGCCUGAGCACUGGACCCCACAAUGGUGCCUUCAUUGACACUUCCAACCUGAGUUUCUGGAACUUUGUCCUUCCACCCAGCACUCUGUGGGGGCACGCAUGUGCGCAGUCGUUCCUGUUAAAGGACCAUCUUUUUGAGCCUCAUGCCCAGCACAUUCACCUACUCAUCUACAGAGACCCGGUUCUUGCAUGCUCAGCUGUCCGGCUUUCUUUUAGGCCCCAUUUCUUUUUUUUUCUGAGACAGGGGUCUUGCUCUAUCACAGGAUGAAGUACAGUGAUACGAUCACGGCUAACUGCAGUCUCGACCUCCCAGCCUCAAUCCAUCUUCCCACCUCAGCCUCCCAAGACUACAGGUGCGCACCACCACGCCGGCUGAUUUAAAAAGAAUUUUGUUGUUUUUUUUUUGUAGAGACAGGGGUCUCACUAUGUUGUCCAGACUAGUCUUGAACUCCUGGGCUCAAGCGAUCCUCCCCAGGCCCCAUUUCUUGCAACCUGGGAGAAUGGGGUCAGACAGAGCCAAAUUCAAAUCCCAGCUCCCCACCUGCCAGUUGGAGAUAAAACUUGGGGUCCAAAUGCUCAGCCACACAACUCAGUCACCAUCAUUGUCAUCACUGUCAUCAAUGAGCAGCAAGAACAAGGGCUGAGGCUUUGCUGCGUGUCGGGCCCUGUGCUGAGUGCUUUGCCCUCACUGUCACACUGAAUCCUUAGCCUUGGGAAGCAGAUAGCAUUGCUGUGAGACCCAUUUCACUAUGAGAAGUGUAAACUCAGAGGCCGUCAUUGCCCACAUCCCCAGCCAGCGAGCCGGCAGAGCAGGGGGAAAAGCCUGGAUCAGACUCUUGCCAACCACAUGGCCCCACACCUACACCCAGCAGGUCACUAAUACCGGCGCUUCCAAGGUAAUUGAUAACAGUUAACAAUAUAGGAAUGACAACGACAGCCACCAAAUGACCGACAGAUGACAGUCAACUUGGCAACAGCAGCAGCCUUCUCUUAAAUGCCUGCACAGGUCAAGCCCUUCCUAAGAUAGGUGCUGCCACUUUGUCUACAUAGGAAGGCACACAGGGAAUGCAGUGACUAAGGGGUGCCGCUAUGAUGGGGACCCAGGGCUGAGUUCCAGAGCCUGGGUUCUGGGCACCGCACCAGGGACCCUCUCAUCACCACUUCAUGAUCUGCUGGCCUUAUGACUCAUGGAGUUGGGACAAACUUCCCUGCCUAGAGGCAUCUCCUGGCUUCAACUGGACCCUGGCCAGUGCCAUGCAGAACUCCCUUCAGUAGGAUGGAGGGUAGAGGGGCUUACCCAGGAAAUCCAGGGUCAUCACGUGACCACAGACAGACGUCAUCUUGAAGCGCACUGGCUGGCCAGCAAAGGUCCCAGUGUACUCGUGGACUGAGCAGGCCCCGUUCAGCCCUUUGUGUGAGGACAGGCUCCCUGGGGAUGAGGAAGCACAAAGUGACUGGCUGCUUCAGCUGAGCUGAAGACCCUGUGGAGACCCCAGCCCGGAUGCCACCUCCCAGAGGGCCAGAGUCCUCCUUCCCCAGAGUGGUGAGUGACGACAUUCCGCAGACUGGUGCGGGUAGUUGGGCACUGAGAGAUGGGACGGCGCUCAGGGAAAACAGCAUCUGCCAACAACCUAGCACAGAGCACUCUCGAUGCAGAGCCCCAGGCUGCCGGGAGCCAGGAGCAGGCAGGGGUGGGCUCUUUCUCUGUAUUUAUGUUUUCACUCUUCAAUUCCAUUUUUGCCUCACUUCAUUGAAACGUUAUUCAUCGUUUACUAAAACAGACUCCAGAUCUACUCUCGGUUACCAGGGACCUUCUAAUUAUCGAAUUCUCACCCUCUCCACUGACCAUACUCAGCUGUACUUUCUCAGCUUCUGGGCACUGGGCACCACUUUUGGGGCCCCCUGUCCCCUGCGGACCAUGUCUUCUCAGCUGAACGAGGGUCUCUUCCCCUCUCAACUGCUGGACCAAGGGGAGGCCAGGUAGGUGCCUGUCAUUUCUGGGUACCCAGCAUCUAAAACUCUUCCUAUUUGGAGGGAAUUCAAAGAUAGGGGGAAACAGCACCCUACCAACCACCCCAGUGGCCAGAGUUGGGGGUGAGUGGCAGACAUUCCCUCUCCAGCUCCCUGGUGUCUCAGUAGUGCCUGUGGCCAUAGCUCAGUCCAUUGGCUACUCUGGAGUGACGUGAGGUCCACAGGACAGUGGGAGUAUCCAGGGGUGACAAUGCCUGGGGCAUAGCCUCAUCAGACCUUGACUGGGGUGUGGUCCUGGCUGUGUCUCCUUCCUUCCAGGGCUGGUUUCUACUACCUGUACCUAAUAGCCCCACCAGGCCCAGCAUAUGGAUAAUGACUGUCCUUCAAUUUCAUCGUAAAUUGUGCCUUGUGCCUUCUGGGAACCCCAGCUUUGGCACAUUGCCAGGAGUGGAAGCAAAUGCACCCCACUGUGACAUACUGAGAUGCUUCAUUACCACCUGCCGACCCGAACCAAAUCUACCUCAGCCAGGGUGGAAUCACAUUAGGAAAAAAUGUCCUGUAACACAUAAACGACCGUGCUUACAGACCAAAGCAGGGCUGGUCUCUCCUACCUCUAGAGAGGAUUUUGGCAAUUGACUGUGCCAAGGACGGCUUUUCAGCAACCAUGAGCACGGUCUUCAUCUUGUCUCGGUCCUUCACACUCCAGUUUCGGGGCACUGGCAAUGAAAAAGUUUAGACUCCACUCUUCCGCAGCACAGCACUAUUACCAAUGCUGACUCCUAAAGAGAAGAAAAGACACUCAGGAUAGCAAUGCUGUCAAUAGAACCUACACCACUACAGGGAAAAUCACUUUAACAAAGAAAAAACAAGACCAACCUGAGGCAAGAAGAAGAAAAAUUAGGGAAUUAGGGAAACUUGAAGACAUCUGAGAUUAAAAACAAGAAAAAACUACCAGGUCAGCUGAAGUGGCUGAGAUGAUCCUGGGAAUGUGGCUCCAUUUGGGGGAAGGUGAAGUGGCCCCAAUGAUCUCAGGUCAAUUUUAUUCCUAAAUCCAUGCUAGGAAGAUGCUGGGGCCUGGGGAUCUGGAGUGAGGGGUCAGGCCAGGUGGAUGCCUGGCCCUCCUCUCUGGACUGGCUCUUCCACCUACAGGUGGACUCACCUGGAAAGAGGAACUAUCGUGGCCGAGAGCAGCACCUCCCGCUCAGCGAAGCACUUGGAUGCCCCAGGACACUUUACAAAAUGCAGAUGCCCAGGCUGGGCCCCCCAGGUCCUUCUGAUCCAUGAUGGACCUGAGACCCUCUGGCUAGUCGGUCCAGCCCCAAGCAGACAUCAGGACUCUGUCACAUCUAUCUCCCACCUAUUCCACUCCACCUUUUGCUUUGCAGGUCAUGCUCUGGCCAAAUUAAAUCAAAUAUCAUCAUCGAAGCAAACAUGCACUUGAAGCCUCUGUGCCUGCGCUCCCCUGCCUGAGAGAAAGCUCCGCCAGGCCUGGAGGAUGCAGCUGGAUGGCCCACAGGCCCAGCUCAAGUCUCCCAACACCACUGGCAGGAUAAGUCAGCCCUCCUGUGCCCACAGCUCUUGGGCUAGGUCUCCAUUCCAACCCACUCACAUCAUGCCAUCAUCAGCGACUACCUCACCCCCAAAAUAGGACACGAUGGGCUUUGUGUCUGAAUCACUGUUGGUCUUUGCAACAGCUUUCUGUGCCUGACACAUGACAUUCAAUACCUGCUAGCCAAGUAAAAGAAAACCACAUGAACCCUUUUUCUUUUUUCAGUCAUUAUAAAUGUAGCACUGAUGUUUAUAAACAUAGCACCGUAUUAAAAAAAGAAAAAAAAGACUUGUAUUGAGACAACUGGGAAACCUGCUGUGAAAAAAAAUAAAGUUAGACUCCUGCUUCCUAAAUCCCACUAAAACCGAUUCCAGAUCUAGCAAAGGUUUGAGUAGAAACGAUGAAACCAGAAAAAUAUUAGGAAAAACAUGUGCUUUUAAAAUAAAUCUCACGAGCCGGGUGUGGUAGCACAUGCCUAUAGUGUCAGCCACUCAGGAGGCUGAGGCAAGAGGAUCGCUUGCUUGAGGCCAGGAAUUCAAGGCUGUUGUGUGCCAUGACUGCACCUGUGGAUAGAACAGCCACUUCACUCCAGCCUAGGUGACAGCAAGACCCUGUCUCAAAAAAAGUAAAAGCAAAAUAAAAUAAUCUCAGCAUAAAGAAAAACUACCACCUAGAUGGGCACAGUGGCUCACGCCUGUAUCCCAGCACUUUGGGAGGCCGAGGUGGGUGGACCACUUGAGGUCAGGAGUUCAAGACCAGCCUGGCCAACAUGGCAAAACCCCAUCUCUAAUAAAAAUACAAAAAUUAGCUGGGUGUGGUGGUGGGUGCCUAUAAUCCCAGCUACUUGGGAGGCUGAGGCAUGAGAAUCGCUUGAACUCAGGAAGUGGAGGUUGCAGUGAGCCGAGAUCAUGCUAUUGCACUCCAGCUUGUACAAUAGAGCAAGACUCCAUCUCAAACAACAACAACAACAAAAAAAAGGGAAAACAACCACGUAAGUACCUCUGUGGUAUCACAUCAUGUCCAACAACACUCACAGAAGAAACUCAGAACUACAG